GACGAACGCUGGCGGCGUGCUUAACACAUGCAAGUCGAACGGAAAGGCCCUGCUUUUGUGGGGUGCUCGAGUGGCGAACGGGUGAGUAACACGUGAGUAACCUGCCCUUGACUUUGGGAUAACUUCAGGAAACUGGGGCUAAUACCGGAUAGGAGCUCCUGCUGCAUGGUGGGGGUUGGAAAGUUUCGGCGGUUGGGGAUGGACUCGCGGCUUAUCAGCUUGUUGGUGGGGUAGUGGCUUACCAAGGCUUUGACGGGUAGCCGGCCUGAGAGGGUGACCGGCCACCUUGGGACUGCGAUACGGCCCAGACUCCUACGGGAGGCAGCAGUGGGGAAUCUUGCACAAUGGGCGGAAGCCUGAUGCAGCAACGCCGCGUGCGGGAUGACGGCCUUCUGGUUGUAAACCGCUUUCGCCUGUGACGAAGCGUGAGUGACGGUAAUGGGUAAAGAAGCACCGGCUAACUACGUG
rnacentral:rRNA from 1 species